AAGUCGAACGGUAACGCAGGGAGAAGCUUGCUUCUCCCCGGCGACGAGUGGCGAACGGGUGAGUAAUACAUCGGAACGUGUCCGCUCGUGGGGGACAACCAGCCGAAAGGUUGGCUAAUACCGCAUGAGUUCUACGGAAGAAAGAGGGGGACCCGCAAGGGCCUCUCGCGAGCGGAGCGGCCGAUGACUGAUUAGCCGGUUGGUGAGGUAACGGCUCACCAAAGCAACGAUCAGUAGCUGGUCUGAGAGGACGACCAGCCMCACUGGGACUGAGACACGGCCCAGACUCCUACGGGAGGCAGCAGKGGGGAAUUUUGGACAAUGGGCGCAAGCCUGAUCCAGCUAUUCCGCGUGUGGGAUGAAGGCCCUCGGGUUGUAAACCACUUUUGUAGAGAACGAAAAGACACCUUCGAAUAAAGGGUGUUGCUGACGGUACUCUAAGAAUAAGCACCGGCUAACUACGUGCCAGCAGCCGCGGUAAUACGUAGGGUGCGAGCGUUAAUCGGAAUUACUGGGCGUAAAGGGUGCGCAGGCGGUUGAGUAAGACAGACGUGAAAUCCCCGAGCUUAACUCGGGAAUGGCAUAUGUGACUGCUCGACUAGAGUGUGUCAGAGGGAGGUGGAAUUCCACGUGUAGCAGUGAAAUGCGUAGAUAUGUGGAAGAACACCGAUGGCGAAGGCAGCCUCCUGGGACAUAACUGACGCUCAGGCACGAAAGCGUGGGGAGCAAACAGGAUUAGAUACCCUGGUAGUCCACGCCCUAAACGAAGGUUAACUAGUUGUUGGGAAGUAAUAUUCUCAGUAACGCAGCCAACGCGAGAAGUUAACCGCCUGGGAAGUACGGUCGCAAGACUAAAACUCAAAGGAAUUGACGGAGACCCGCACAAGCGGUGGAUGAUGUGGAUUAAUUCGAUGCAACGCGAAAAACCUUACCUACCCUUGACAUGUCAGGAAGCUCUUGUAAUGAGAGCGUGCCCGCAAGGGAGCCUGAACACAGGUGCUGCAUGGCUGUCGUCA
rnacentral:rRNA from 1 species